GCACCCAUGGCCUAAUGGAUAAGGCGUCUGACUUCUAAUCAGGCGAUUGUUUGACACCCAUGGGUCUG
rnacentral:tRNA from 1 species